GGCUCGGUGGUGGAUGGUCCACACCUAUAUGUUAUAGUCAGAUGAUCUCUUGCAUUAAGGAGGGAAAGCCUGUUCGAAUCAGGCCUGAGCCA